UUGGUCAGGUCGAGAAAAGAAAAACUCCAGGUAUUUUAUAAACUUUUGUUGCAUUCGAAGGAGAGCGAUAUGCAAAAUACUAGAUUUGGUAGUAUUUUUUGGGAGGUUGAUAGGUCGAUAGGCGAAGGGGCAAGGCGAUCAACGGUGCCGGUGAGAGAGCGGGAGAAUGUAAAGGAGGGGAAUAUUGCGGGAUCCACGAGCCAGCUCACCCACACCCUCAAGAAUGCCAUGCUAUGCCCUUGAAUUUGGUUCAAGGGCAGUAGAAGAGAUGAGAUCAACUGCAGCAAGGGGGACUGCGUAGAGUAGCUACGCUGAACAUGCCGGCAGUGGAAAAAUAGACAUCGGCAGUGUUAGUGCGUUUUGUGUGUGUGACCGUUUAGGAAAAAGAAAGACCGGCCAACGUAGAGGACCCUUUUACCCGAAUCGAAAGAAAAAGGCAUAAAUUGUAUCGGCUGGCUUCUCGUAGAUGGGCCAAAAUUACCAUUCCCCGGCCCGCGGAAUCCUGGUCACACCCCUGCUCGGGCGCGACCCGCCACAGCCCACCGACAAUUAAUAUAAUUAAUCUAUGCAUACAUAAACGCAUACCUAUUUACAUGCGUAUAUAAAAACACAAAAAAAUAAUAUCUGUCUAUAUUAAUUAAGAUUUAAUUAAUUUGCCACCCCAUAUAUAUUUACCGACCAUAUUAAUGUAAUAUAAAUGUAGUAUUUGUAUUUAUAUUUAUUUUAUUAUUUAUAUUUAUUAAUUUUUUUGAUUAUUCCCACCCAUUAAUUUAAGUUGAAGAGUCGGGAAUAGGCGGACGCGCCACGAGACAUUAGUAUAGGGAUUUUUAGUUAAGUAUGUGUUAAGUUUUUGGUUUAAAUAUUAUAACGUUUAAAAUGAA